AUUUGUAGUAACUUGGUAAGAAUAAGCUUUACUGAAGAUGCUGUUUGAUAUGAUUAUCUUCGGCACUGUGUUUAAUUCUUUUUUUAUUGGGGGGCUAUCUAUGGGUGUUCAAUUAUGGCCAAACUGUACAGUGAAAUACGUAUUCGAUCACCCGAUGUAUUUCGAAGAAAGAUUUCAAGACAACUUUUUCCUUAUAAAGGAUUUCUUUGAAACAAACACAUGUAUACGGUUUGUUGCACAUCGUUCAGAUGACAUAGUUGAACCAGUUUACUUCGAUGAAAGAAAAAGAAAUCCAAGUAAUAUGAGUUAUGGCUACAGCCAUCAUAAUGGAGCAAACCUUUGCAAUGGGGACUGCUCGCCUGUGAAUAUAUUUAUAUCUCUCCUUCAUGUCCUCGGAUUCAAGGAAGAACAGACAAGGAACGACAGAGAUUUGUACCUUAAAAUAAAUUAUCACAGCAUAC